CUUUCACAAACUGCGCAUGCACAAGGCCCUUUUUUUUAUUUAGGUUUUUUGACACGCCUCCGAAAUUUUGAUCUACCUCGUGUGCGCAGAUAAAACAAGAAUUUCAUGAACAUGACAACAGGGACAGAAAUCCGGGCUGUUUGGAAACUACAGACGUUAGAGCACCAACGGCAGGUGGAUGGCAGCAGUUGCGGAGUGCUGAUAUUAAAAGUAUCGUAGAUGACUACUGUGUUAUGUGCAACGGAACAGAUGAGCAAUCAGGCAGAAGUGUCUUCAACAUGGUGCUAUGUGAUGUCUGCUGCAGAUGGGCACAUGUUGAAUGCACAGGCGACUCUGCUGAAGAACUGGAAAUAGUGACGUUACAAAUUUGUACACACUACAGAAGCAGAAAUAUGCGAGACAUUCUUGUUAAAGCCGAGUCUUUUAAAGAUACAGUGAAAAACUUAAACUGGGGUACAGUCAUAAACGGUUUUGUUCAAUAUCAGAAAUGUGCAGCGUGUGACAAUGCUAUUAAAACUAAAACCUUUAUGUCAUGUAACUAAAAAAGAAUACAGUAUUUCACAAGUUAUUACCUGCACAUCUGAUUUUGUAGUUUUUGUAAUUUUCUGCCCUUGUAACUUACAAUAUGUUGGUAAAACCAAAAGACAACUACGGGUGUGCAUUAAUGAACAUAAAAGUGCCAUCCAUAGGAAAGACGUACACUUGCCACUGGCGAGACACUUUGCAGAGGUAAAUCACUCCAUAUCGGACUUAAAAUGUUUUGGUAUACAAAGAUUAUUUCAGUCUCGUAGAGGGGGUGACUUGAAUAAAAAAAAAACGACUUCAAUGUGAAGCAAAAUGGAUCUUCUAUCUCAUGACAGUACAGCCAGAAGGCAUUAAUGAAGAACUUGGAUUAUCAUGUUACCUAUACUUAUAUAAUUAAUAUUGUUCUUAUUUUUUAUUGCUUUUGUAUUCCUUAUAUCAUUAGUGCUUAUUUGAUAAUUAAUUCAUUACAUUAUACUUAAGACUUGUUAUCAUUUGGGUC